UAGGGAAUCUUCGGCAAUGGGGGCAACCCUGACCGAGCAACGCCGCGUGAGUGAAGAAGGUUUUCGGAUCGUAAAGCUCUGUCGUAAGAGAAGAACGUGCGUGAGAGUGGAAGGUUCACACAGUGACGGUAACUUACCAGAAAGGGACGGCUAACUACGUGCCAG
rnacentral:rRNA from 1 species